UACAGAGGGGGCAAGCGUUAUUCGGAAUUAUUGGGCGUAAAGGGCGCGUAGGCGGGCUGUCAAGUCUGGGGUGAAAUGCCGCGGCUCAACCGUGGAACUGCCUUAGAUACUGACGGCCUCGAGGAAGGUAGGGGCAUGCGGAACUGUAGGUGGAGCGGUGAAAUGCGUUGAUAUCUACAGGAACUCCGGUGGCGAAAGCGGCGUGCUGGACCUUUUCUGACGCUGAGGCGCGAAAGCUAGGGGAGCAAACGGG
rnacentral:rRNA from 1 species